rnacentral:rRNA from 1 species
ACUACGGGAGGCAGCAGUGGGGGAUAUUGGACAAUGGGGGGAACCCUGAUCCAGCGACGCCGCGUGAGUGAAGAAGUAUUUCGGUAUGUAAAGCUCUGUCAGCAGGGAAGAAAGAAAUGACGGUACCUGACCAAGAAGCCCCGGCUAACUACGUGCCAGCAGCCGCGGUAAUACGUAGGGGGCAAGCGUUAUCCGGAAUUACUGGGUGUAAAGGGAGCGUAGACGGUUAAGUAAGUCUGGAGUGAAAGGCCGGGGCCCAACCCCGGGACUGCUCUGGAAACUAUUGAACUUGAGUGCAGGAGAGGUAAGCGGAAUUCCUAGUGUAGAGGUGAAAUGCGUAGAUAUUAGGAGGAACACCAGUGGCGAAGGCGGCUUACUGGACUGUAACUGACGUUGAGGCUCGAAAGCGUGGGGAGCAAACAGGAUUAGAUACCCUAGUAGUC